AUGGCGCACUCCUCCUGUUUGAAUCGGAGUUUGAAACCAAAAAAACUUCUCCUCAGGAGGAUAGAUGGGACGAUUCAGGCGAUAUCCCAUUUAGAUCUAACUUUAUAUUCACUCGUGGGAUCCGGGCAGUCCGGGGGGGGGGGGGCACCACGGCUCCUCUCUUUUCGAGAAUCCAUACAUCCUUUAUCAGUGUAUGGAGAGCUAUCUCUCGAGCACAGGUUGAGGUUCAUCCUCAAUGGGAAAAUGGAGCACCUAACAAUGCAUCUUCACAUACCAAGAACUACGAGAUCACCCUUCCAUUCUGGGGUGACGGAGGGAUCCUACCAUUCGAGCCUUUUUUCAUGCUUUUCCUAG
rnacentral:rRNA from 1 species